CUCCCUGUGGCUCAGCUGGUAGAGCAUGGUGUUUGCAAUGGUGUUUGCAACGCCAGGGUUGUGGGUUUGAUUCCCACGGGGGACC
rfam:Salmo salar isolate Sally breed double haploid chromosome ssa04, whole genome shotgun sequence.